CCAAAAUGUAGAUAUUUGUUGACUUUCGAACAUCAUGUUUGACCAUCCGUCUUAUUCAAAAAUUUUGUGAAUAUAUUAUUUAUUUUGUUAUGAUUUAUUUUAUUAUUAGGUAUACUUCAAGUAUGACUUAUUUAUUUUUAUAUUUCUAUAAAUUUUUUGAAUAAGACGGAUGGUCAAACGUGAUGUGCGGAAACCGAUAAAUACCUAUAAU
rfam:Leersia perrieri chromosome 5, whole genome shotgun sequence.